GACGAACGCUGGCGGCGUGCCUAAUACAUGCAAGUAGAACGCAGUUGCGAACGGGGGAGUAACGCGUAGGUAACUCCCUCAUACCGGCGGGUUACUAUUUGAACCGUUAGCUAAUACCCCAUACUGUGAGAUGGACCUGCGUUGUAUUAGCUAGUUGGUGAGGUAAAGGCUCACCAAGGCGACGCUACAUAGCCGACCUGAGAGGGUGAUCGGCCACACUGGUACUGAGACACGGCCCAGACUCCUACGAGAGGCAGCAGUAGGGAAUCUUCGGGAAUGGACGGAAGUCCGACCGGGCAACUCAGCGUUAAUGAAGAAGGUUUUCGGGUCGUAAAGCUAUGUUGUGAGAGAGGCGGUAACUACGGAGAAAGGGACGGCUGAAGACGUGCCAGCAGCCGCGGUAAUUC
rnacentral:rRNA from 1 species